UCAAUGCCUACCUCACCUUUCUUGUGAGGAAAUAUAAUAAAAUAAGUCCAGAAAAGGCUGGUGUCAUCGACAGUUUUUGCAUGACGACAAUUUGGCAAGGGAAACAACAAAGACUCCGAAAACUCGAUCCAAUGGCAUUCUCCAUCCUUUUGGGAAUAAUUAAUGAACAAAACCACUGGAUGUUGACGGUCAUCUACCCACACGAGAAGAGAUGCUUUUUUUGGAUCCAUUGGGGGAAUCACAAAGGAACAUCAAGAGAUGCCUGGGGUCAACAAGGGCCUUUAUGCGAAAGAAAGGCUGCAACGUGACAAGGUGGGCAUGCAGCACCCUGGCCCAUGCACGCCAGCAAGAUGGCACAGCAUGUGGUGUCCUGGCC